AGUCGUACCAAGGUUUCGUAGGUGAACCUGCGGAAGGAUCAUUA
rnacentral:rRNA from 1 species